AUUGAACGCUGGCGGCAUGCCUUACACAUGCAAGUCGAACGGUAACAGGUCUUCGGAUGCUGACGAGUGGCGAACGGGUGAGUAGUGCAUCGGAACGUGCCCAGUCGUGGGGGAUAACGCAGCGAAAGCUGCGCUAAUACCGCAUACGAUCUAUGGAUGAAAGCGGGGGACCGUAAGGCCUCGCGCGAUUGGAGCGGCCGAUGUCAGAUUAGGUAGUUGGUGGGGUAAAGGCCCACCAAGCCAACGAGCUGUAGCUGGUCUGAGAGGACGACCAGCCACACUGGGACUGAGACACGGCCCAGACUCCUACGGGAGGCAGCAGUGGGGAAUUUUGGACAAUGGGCGCAAGCCUGAUCCAGCAAUGCCGCGUGCAGGAAGAAGGCCUUCGGGUUGUAAACUGCUUUUGUACGGAACGAAACGGCUCUCUCUAAUACAGAGGGCUAAUGACGGUACCGUAAGAAUAAGCACCGGCUAACUACGUGCCAGCCGCCGCCGUAA
rnacentral:rRNA from 1 species